GUGGGCGUGCCGAAGUGGUUAUCGGGCAAGACUUGAAAUCAUGUGGGCCUUGCCCGCGCAGGUAUGAUUCCUGCUGCCCACG